rnacentral:rRNA from 1 species
CCUACGGGAGACUGCAGUGGGGAAUAUUGGACAAUGGGGGGAACCCUGAUCCAGCGACGCCGCGUGCGUGAAGAAGUAUUUCGGUAUGUAAAGCUCUAUCAGCAGGGAAGAAAGAAAUGACGGUACCUGACUAAGAAGCCCCGGCUAACUACGUGCCAGCAGCCGCGGUAAUACGUAGGGGGCAAGCGUUAUCCGGAUUUACUGGGUGUAAAGGGAGCGUAGACGGCGAUGCAAGUCUGAAGUGAAAGGCGGGGGCCCAACCCCUGGACUGCUUUGGAAACUGUAUGGCUGGAGUGCAGGGGAGGUAAGUGGAAUUCCUAGUGUAGCGGUGAAAUGCGUAGAUAUUAGGAGGAACACCAGUGGCGAAGGCGGCUUACUGGACUGUAACUGACGUUGAGGCUCGAAAGCGUGGGGAGCAAACAGGAUUAGAUACCCGAGUAGUC